rnacentral:lncRNA from 1 species
CACCGCCGGAGUUCUACCAAACUCGCGCCUUCCUCAACCUGCUGCGACCUUUUUGUCUGUUUACUGAGCAAAGUUACACAUUUACUUACCUCCUCUGUUAACUACUAAUUAUACUUAUAGUCCAAGUCAUUACACCUCUUUGCCUCUUUCCCCUUCGCCUCUUUCCGCUUCUUCGCCGCUUCUUCGCCGCAGAGUUAGGGUUCCCCUUUGCUCGGAACCCUUCGCCUCUUUCCGCUUCUUCGCCGCUUAACUCUGCGCAAAACCCUAACUUCGCCGCCUCUUUCCGCUUCGCCACUUCGCCCCAAUCCUGUCGGACCUCCUUAAUUUCUCCCUUCUCUAACUCCCAUCGCCUUCUCCGAGCUCUGAGGAUGCCCUAGCUCCGCCGCUUCGCCGGAGCUCCACCCGAGGCCGGAUCUCCACCCGAGCGCCCUCACACCGCCGGAGUUCUACCAAACUCGCGCCUUCCUCAACCUGCUGCGACCUUUUUGUCUGUUUACUGAGCAAAGUUACACAUUUACUUACCUCCUCUGUUAACUACUAAUUAUACUUAUAGUCCAAGUCAUUACACCUCUUUGCCUCUUUCCCCUUCGCAGCUUCUCCUCUUCGCCGCUUUGCCUCUCCGCGAACGCCUACGGUGCAGACUUCCUCUCUUCAAUCAACCUCCUCGAUCGACGACGCCGUGUUAACCUCCUCAUUU